rnacentral:hammerhead_ribozyme from 1 species
AUCCAGCUGACGAGUCCCAAAUAGGGCGAAGCAAGCGUCCUGAAU